AUUCCAGCUCCAAUAGCGUAUAUUAAUGUUGUUGCAGUUAAAAAGCUCGUAGUUGGAUUUCUGCGCCGCGCAACUCGGUCCGCUGCACUGCAGUGUGAUGUGUGGUUGGAGCGUCGCAUCCUUGUGGGGACUGUUUGUGUCAUUAAUUUGAUGGAUUCCGGAACCGCAUCGUUUACUGUGAAAAAAUUAGAGUGUUCAAAGCAGGCUUAUGCCGUGAAUACAUUAGCAUGGAAUAACGAAUGGGUCUACAAUUUGGUUGAUUGUAGAUUGCGAUUAAUAGGGACAGUUGGGGGCAUUAGUAUUUAAUUGUCAGAGGUGAAAUUCUUGGAUUAGUUAAAGACUAACGUAUGCGAAAGCAUUUGCCAAGGAUGUUUUCAUUG
rnacentral:rRNA from 1 species